rnacentral:lncRNA from 1 species
AAUGCUACGGGCCGGCGCGGCAAUUACACGCACUUCUCUAAGUGGGCCUAUUAUAUUUCUUCCUUUUGAUUUCUUCUCCUCUAUAGGACUAGGUCAAAUUUCGAUCCACAAGUAAAAAGAAACAUCCAAUUUGGACAGUAAAAAUGUUUAAAUACUUAUAAAAAAAAUUUGGGAAUUGAAAAAAUAUCUCGUCUCGUACUAGUAAUAUAAUAAAUAUACGAGACAAUAAUCUAUUAUUUACUAAGAGGAUCAGCGAUGCAAUAUCUACUCACUAAAACGAGACACUGGAACGUACCUUUCCAAAAAAAAUAAGACACGAACGUAGCUUCUACAAAAGGCUAACAUCGUGUCUUGUUCGUUCUACCAAUCUUUUUCCCCUCAAAACGUUUUUUUCUUUGUUCCUUCGUCUGGUAAUUGGGUCCUCUGCUUUGGCUUUAUCCUUAGGAUAAAAGACUAACUUCUCUUGAUAGAAAAGUAAGCAAUGCUACAAUGCUAGAGCCCUAGAGCAAUGAAUUUGUAUUACAAGGAUUUGUUCGAAAUUGAAUGAAACUUUGAAAAAUUUUAAGUUCUACUUUCU